ACACAUGCAAGUCGAACGUGAUUUUUGUGGAAAUUCUUUCGGGAAUGGAAAUGAAAUGAAAGUGGCGAACGGGUGAGUAACACGUGAGCAACCUACCUUACACAGGGGGAUAGCCGUUGGAAACGACGAUUAAUACCGCAUGAGACCACAGAAUCGCAUGAUAUAGGGGUCAAAGAUUUAUCGGUGUAAGAAGGGCUCGCGUCUGAUUAGCUAGUUGGAAGGGUAAAGGCCUACC
rnacentral:rRNA from 1 species